rnacentral:rRNA from 1 species
GCCAGACUCCUACGGGAGGCAGCAGUGGGGGAUAUUGCACAAUGGGGGAAACCCUGAUGCAGCGACGCCGCGUGAGUGAAGAAGUAUUUCGGUAUGUAAAGCUCUAUCAGCAGGGAAGAAGAAAGACGGUACCUGAGUAAGAAGCCCCGGCUAACUACGUGCCAGCAGCCGCGGUAAUACGUAGGGGGCAAGCGUUAUCCGGAUUUACUGGGUGUAAAGGGAGCGUAGACGGUAUGGCAAGUCUGAAGUGAAAGCCCCGGGCUCAACCUGGGAACUGCUUUGGAAACUGUUAAACUAGAGUGCUGGAGAGGCAGGCGGAAUUCCUAGUGUAGCGGUGAAAUGCGUAGAUAUUAGGAGGAACACCAGUGGCGAAGGCGGCCUGCUGGACAGUAACUGACGUUGAGGCUCGAAAGCGUGGGGAGCAAACAGGAUUAGAUACCCGGGUAUCU